rnacentral:rRNA from 1 species
CUCCUACGGGAGGCAGCAGUGGGGAAUCUUAGACAAUGGGCGCAAGCCUGAUCUAGCCAUGCCGCGUGUGUGACGAAGGCCUUAGGGUCGUAAAGCACUUUCGCCUGUGAUGAUAAUGACAGUAGCAGGUAAAGAAACCCCGGCUAACUCCGUGCCAGCAGCCGCGGUAAUACGGAGGGGGUUAGCGUUGUUCGGAAUUACUGGGCGUAAAGCGCACGUAGGCGGAUUGGAAAGUAUGGGGUGAAAUCCCAGGGCUCAACCCUGGAACUGCCUCAUAAACUUCCAGUCUAGAGUUCGAGAGAGGUGAGUGGAAUUCCGAGUGUAGAGGUGAAAUUCGUAGAUAUUCGGAGGAACACCAGUGGCGAAGGCGGCUCACUGGCUCGAUACUGACGCUGAGGUGCGAAAGUGUGGGGAGCAAACAGGAUUAGAUACCCUGGUAGUCCACACCGUAAACGAUGAAUGCCAGUCGUCGGCAAGCAUGCUUGUCGGUGACACACCUAACGGAUUAAGCAUUCCGCCUGGGGAGUACGGUCGCAAGAUUAAAACUCAAAGGAAUUGACGG